AGCGAACGCUGGCGGCAGGCCUAACACAUGCAAGUCGAACGAAGUCUUCGGACUUAGUGGCGGACGGGUGAGUAACACGUGGGAACGUACCUUCUGGUUCGGAACAACUCAGGGAAACUUGAGCUAAUACCGGAUGAGCCCUUAGGGGGAAAGAUUUAUCGCCGAAAGAGCGGCCCGCGUUAGGUUAGCUAGUUGGUGAGGUAAAGGCUCACCAAGGCUACGAUCUAUAGCUGGUCUGAGAGGAUGAUCAGCCACACUGGGACUGAGACACGGCCCAGACUCCUACGGGAGGCAGCAGUGGGGAAUCUUGCGCAAUGGGCGAAAGCCUGACGCAGCCAUGCCGCGUGAAUGAUGAAGGUCUUAGGAUUGUAAAAUUCUUUUACCAGGGACGAUAAUGACGGUACCUGGAGAAAAAGCCCCGGCUAACUUCGUGCCAGCCGCCGCUGUAACAC
rnacentral:rRNA from 1 species